GGACCAUGGUGUAGUGCAUGGCAGUUCCCAGAUCCACCACUAGUGGGAGCCACACAAGCUUCUCUCCGGUAUCUGUCCCACUUCUUGGUGUUAACUCUUGAGCCUUGGAGAGUUGGGGGGAACAGAGGCUAACUUUUCCUGGGGCUAUUUUUCAAAAGCAAUAAAACCUCAUUUGGAAAGAAAAGCUGUAGGGGUUUCCCCCACUAUACACAAGUCCCGUGGAAAAGAGAGGGUCACCUGCCCUCUGCCAGACUCCUAAGUCCUUGUAUUACUAUAUCCAAGUCUCUAAGCACUUUGAAUCUAGCAUAUACAUCCAAAUGGUGAGACCUGCCUGCUGGUGGAUUCUGAUAAGAGUUAAGCAGUAUCCCGAGUCUCAGACUCAGCUAUCCUACCCUGUCUAUCACAGCUAGAAACUACCUUGCAGAUGGCGUGGUAGAUACUUUAUCCAGACAAAUUUUGGUUUUGUCUCCUCCUCACUGCCCCCCACCCCACCCCUGACCAAUCAGAUUCCUUCUUCCAUUUUCAGUGCCUUGAGUGUCAGGUUUGUGAUGAUGUCCCUGUGUGGGGAGCAGGGACCUUGUGAGCUUGAGCUUGUCCCAUGUUAGCAUCCAAGGAGAGACAAGUGAGAGGACAUGAGGGGAUGGGGGCCUGGAAAUGGUGGCGAAGGAAACGUCUUACUGACCUAGAUGGAGAUCUUAGUGUAGAACAACACAAACGGCACUGAAUUCCAUGGGCCAUGCUAUCUUUUCCCACACAGCAUGCACACAUGAGCACACACACAUUCCGUGCCACAUCUCAUCUACCACCUUCUGACCAAAGAGAAUCUGUAACUCGUAGCUCAGCCUCAUCUUCCCAAGAAAACAACUGCCCAACAGGAGCCUACUGUCCAUGUCCCCGCUGAGACCUGCGCGAUGGGAGGGAGUAGUCCCAGAAUGCUCCUUGCUUUUUCUCAUUGGUCACCAUUCGUUAGUCAUGUUUACUUUAAUGAGCUACAUGUUCAUCAGGCACGGUCCAUCACUAACCUUCUAGAUGGGCCUGUGGGGUGAUAUCUGAGGCUAUCUCCUUCUCGAUAAGGACCAGGUGAUAUCUGGGAAUCAGGGAGUCCCGUUUCCAGCCUGGCAGGCAGCUGCUGCUUCCUCCUCUCCUCCUCCUCCUCCAGUGAAUGCGUGCACAGAGUGGGCCCUUCCUGCAGCAGUGACCGACUUGUAGCUGCAUCCCAGUUCAGAAGACUCACGCUCGCAGAACCCUUUCAUGAGAGCUCAGUGGGGCGGUGGGUUUGCAGUGUAGGUCCUUGUGAAUAUGGAUUCAUACAGGCUUUCAUGUUCUCUGACCUCUGAAGCCGUGGGUGAGCCAAACACUUCUGAAGUCUAAAUAGAGUGGCAUUUUAUACUCCCUAAAGUCAUCAUCUUGUGUGGGGUUUGGCUUGAUUCUCUUGUUUCUCUCUGAUUUAAGUAGUAGGUCCCUCCUAUGGAAAUAAGAGCAGCACUAAGGAGAACUCUGAGAGUCAAGCGCACAGCCAUGCGAGGGACAGGAAACAGCAACUGAGACAGACUCCUGCCACUCACACUCCGCAAUCAGAAUCAGAGUUGGGCCCUGCUGAAUGACCAGUGUUGCUUGUCGGGGGAGUUGAAAGUCCCUUAAUCACGAGGCUCUUCCGUCUGAAGCUAGCAUCUUCCAGCAUGUUGGUACUUUGAGUCUAAGCACCCUGGGUGCUGUUGCUUUAGUUGAAAGAAUAAGAAACCAAGAGUCGAGAGAUCCAGGAUCCCAUUCUGCGGCUGCUGUUUGCUGAGUAACCCUGGUCUGACCUCCUUAUUUUCCGUGCUUCCAUCUUCUGGUCUUUCCCUAAACCUAUUCUCUGUUGGCUGUGUUCAUCUGGGGCAGGAGAUUGCCCAUUCCUCGGGAACAGUGAGCAGUCUCGGUGAGGCUUGGGGCAGGGAGGCACAGCCUGCUAGAAGGAGCUUUAACCACCAACUUCUUGAUCUUGUCUGUCACCCUACCCCUGAGUGAAAUGAAGUUAUUGGUGUUGCUCUCAUCUUAGAUUCAGUAGGCUGCUGUGAUCACGGUAGGGCUCGGUCAUGGAUGCGGUCUGCGGCAGCACAUACAGACUGGGAGAGGCAGAGAAACUGUCUUCUACUUCAGUCUUCAGGAACAGUCAUCUGGCCUAAAGACUGCUCUCCCUGUUCCCCCAACAAGGUGAAGCCUACAUCCCCCCCGCCCGUGCCCCCCUCCCUGCAGUCUUGAAUCAGAAAGCAGGAGAGAGAGCAGCUGACCCCGCCCUGUAGACUGAAAGGGGUGUUCCUAGCAGGAAGAAGGGGUUAGUGGUUUUUAUAUAAAUGCUGCAUAUGUUAAAGGUUCUUGUGGCUCUGGAUAGGCCUUGCCCUUUGUAGAGAACCCAGCCUGCUUGCUGAAUCCUGGUCCCCACCCCAUCCCCACCACUGCCAAAGUCUAACUACAGACUAUGCAUGAAGCAGGAAAGAGAGAGGAAAGCUCGCAGGAGCAGGGGCAAUGCUCAGCUUUCACAAAUGUCUGGGUCAGAACGAAAAACAUGAGCUCAACUAAUGUGAUUCUGGGUGAGACAAGACACAGUGACCCGUGUCUUCCCCCUUGUGCUCUGUCAGGAGCCAUAGCUCCUGGGAUCCUUAAGAUAGAAGUGGGUGACCCGUGUACACUUGGCCCCCUGCAUAGCAAUGUUAGGCAAUUGGGAUUUAUAGAAACUCACGUUAAAGCCAAAGACCGUGUUUGGGCAUGUAACGUCUACUGGCUUAGUCACUGCCUCAUCCUGCUGUGUGAGCAGCUCUGUUCCUCUGGGUGAAUUGCAUGAACUCCCAAGGCCACUGCAGGCUCAAAACACCUGCUUUCCCUACUAUUCCAUUUCUGUGGAACCCGAGGCCAGGCGCUACACCCAUUGAGCCAAGCGCUGACGGUAAUACAAUCCUGGGGACACAGACCUCAAGACUCCACUGGGGGUGCAUUGACUGUUAUGGAAGGACUCUAAAGUUGUCACCUAAACACCACAUUCCCUUCUCGCUGCGAUUUUUCUUUCUCCUCUCCUAAAGACAGUACAUUCUGACCAGUGCUGGCUGACCUUCCUCAGCUGCUGACACCACCCGUGGGCCAGUAAAGAGGACUGAGGUCUGUGGCUUGUUGUAUGGAUUUGAGAGGAGGGUGCAACAUUCAGUUUUCCAGCAUCACUGUGAGGGAACCUUUCCCAAGGGAAUGUAAUUUUUUGCACAGAAGACAGAGGCCACACUAGGAAGUCCUGGUGCAAACCUGCUCUUAACAAAAGUAAUGAUUCUGUGUGCACAGAACUCCCCUUACCAGCCCUGUUUGUAAAACCAUCUUAGGCUUUUAAUGUUCACAACCACUGGCCUUUGCGAACUGGUGGCCAGACUGUUCCAUUGGUUUCAGGAGCUGUCCAUCGCCCCUGGGAAUACCAGGAUGGAAGGGGGCGGGGAAAGAGGGGAGCAUUCAGUUUGCUGAUACAAUCAAUACAUAGGCUUCUUAGCAAAAGUGACCCACAAGGCCUCCACUUUUAACAAGGUGCCCAGGUCAGACUGCCAACCCCAGUCAUUCCUCGGAUUGUUAUCUCCAUCUGAUGCCUGUUGAAUCUUCUCUACCCAAAUCCUCCUCAUAAAUGGAUCCAUGAUGACAGCUAAGAGAAAAAAAAUAAGUAUUUUUGUUAGGACAAACCAUCAUAGAUUUUUAGCAAUGUGUAUCUGUGUGUCCUUUAUGCCUUUCCUAUUCUGACAUUUUUUCUUUUUUUUUUUUAAAAAAAUAUUGUGUACUAUAUUUUUAGUCUCAAACACACUAUAUAUUAUAUAUUUAAUUUUAUAUAUAUAUAAAUAUAAAUGUUUUAAAAAGUAC
rnacentral:lncRNA from 1 species